rnacentral:rRNA from 1 species
UCACAUGCAAGUCGGACGGCAGCACAGAGAAGCUUGCUUCUUGGGUGGCGAGUGGCGAACGGGUGAGUAAUAUAUCGGAACGUACCGAGUAAUGGGGGAUAACUAAUCGAAAGAUUAGCUAAUACCGCAUAUUCUCUGAGGAGGAAAGCAGGGGACCUUCGGGCCUUGCGUUAUUCGAGCGGCCGAUAUCUGAUUAGCUAGUUGGUGGGGUAAAGGCCUACCAAGGCGACGAUCAGUAGCGGGUCUGAGAGGAUGAUCCGCCACACUGGGACUGAGACACGGCCCAGACUCCUACGGGAGGCAGCAGUGGGGAAUUUUGGACAAUGGGCGCAAGCCUGAUCCAGCCAUGCCGCGUGUCUGAAGAAGGCCUUCGGGUUGUAAAGGACUUUUGUCAGGGAAGAAAAAGCUGUUGCUAAUAUCGACAGCUGAUGACGGUACCUGAAGAAUAAGCACCGGCUAACUACGUGCCAGCAGCCGCGGUAAUACGUAGGGUGCGAGCGUUAAUCGGAAUUACUGGGCGUAAAGCGAGCGCAGACGGUUACUUAAGCAGGAUGUGAAAUCCCCGGGCUCAACCUGGGAACUGCGUUCUGAACUGGGUGACUAGAGUGUGUCAGAGGGAGGUAGAAUUCCACGUGUAGCAGUGAAAUGCGUAGAGAUGUGGAGGAAUACCGAUGGCGAAGGCAGCCUCCUGGGAUAACACUGACGUUCAUGCUCGAAAGCGUGGGUAGCAAACAGGAUUAGAUACCCUGGUAGUCCACGCCCUAAACGAUGUCAAUUAGCU